CCUGUAAUGAGUAAAUGUCACCUUAUAUGGGAAAAGUGUGUUUGCAGAUGUGAUUGAAUUAAGGAUCUGAAGAUGGAAAAUUUCUCCUGGAUUAUCUGAGUGAGCCUUAGAUGCAAUCACGUGUAUCCUUAUAAGAGAGAAGCAGAGGGAGGUGUUAUGACACACUCAGAAGAGGAGGCAGAGGUUGGUGUGAUGUGGCCACAACCAAGGAAAACCUGCAGCAACCAGCAACUGGAAGAGGCAACAAACAGAUUUUCC
rnacentral:lncRNA from 1 species